GGGUUGGGGGGGGAAAGAGGGAUGCUGCGACCCCGCGGCCUAACGCAGAGCUGCCUGCUCCGCUGCCACCCAGCUCUCUUUUUUAUUUCUUCCCUUCCUUUUUCACGCUUUUUGAUUUUUGUUCCAAUUUUUUUCUUCACCUCUUUAGCCAGAGGGGUGCCUGGGAGCCCAUCGCCACCCCUCACCCCCUUUCCCUGCCCUUCACCUCCCAUCCCUUCUUCUCCCAUCCCUUCUUCUCCCAUCCCUUCUCUUCUCCCAUCCCUUCUCUUCUCCCAUCCCUUCCUUCUCCCAUCCCUUCUCCCAUCCCUUCUCCCAUCCCUUCUCCCAUCCCUUUGCAGCUGGAGGCCAACCCGCCCUGCAUCCCUCCAUCCCCGACCCUCUGCCCCAGUGCUCCCAGCAGGUACCUCGCACUGGGCAAGGACAGGCCUUACUGGAAGGGACGGUGUCAUCCCCCCCCACAACCUCCCCCAUGGGGCAGGGGGGGCCUUUGAUGAUGGCAGUGAGGGGGGGUCCAUCUCUCUUUGCAGCCCCGCGCGCAGACCCUCACCUCCGGGACGGCACCCACAGGAAGAACAUCAACAGGAGUUUGGGGUCCCUGGGACGACUCUUUGCACCCUGACCCCCCCUGGGGUGCUGCAGGUAUUUGGGGGCAGCCCCCCACCCCCCCCUUUCCUUCCUGGGCUCAUAGCCCAGCGGGUGCGGAUGCCGCAAGGAGCCCGCCGUGCCGUGCCGUGCCGUGCCGUGCCGUGCCGCGCCAAUAAAGCUCUUUUCGCUGCGGGUCUCCCGCAUCCUCUCCUUUGUUUGCCGAGGUUUCUCUUCCAGCGGCGGAGGCAGGACCCGCACUCAGCACCAGGUGGGGGGGAUGAAUAUUAAAAUUUCCCCCCCAACCCAAAAUAAAUAAAAAAAAAAACCUAAAAAACCUCA
rnacentral:lncRNA from 1 species